ACGAACGCUGGCGGCGUGCCUAAUACAUGCAAGUCGAACGCUUCUUUUUCCAUCGGAGCUUGCUCCACCGGAAAAAGAGGAGUGGCGAACGGGUGAGUAACACGUGGGUAACCUGCCCAUCAGAAGGGGAUAACACUUGGAAACAGGUGCUAAUACCGUAUAACAAUCGAAACCGCAUGGUUUUGAUUUGAAAGGCGCUUUCGGGUGUCGCUGAUGGAUGGACCCGCGGUGCAUUAGCUAGUUGGUGAGGUAACGGCUCACCAAGGCGACGAUGCAUAGCCGACCUGAGAGGGUGAUCGGCCACAUUGGGACUGAGACACGGCCCAAACUCCUACGGGAGGCAGCAGUAGGGAAUCUUCGGCAAUGGACGAAAGUCUGACCGAGCAACGCCGCGUGAGUGAAGAGGGUUUUCGGAUCGUAAAACUCUGUUGUUAGAGAAGAACAAGGAUGAGAGUAACUGUUCAUCCCUUGACGGUAUCUAACCAGAAAGCCACGGCUAACUACGUGCCAGCAGCCGCGGUAAUACGUAGGUGGCAAGCGUUGUCCGGAUUUAUUGGGCGUAAAGCGAGCGCAGGCGGUUUCUUAAGUCUGAUGUGAAAGCCCCCGGCUCAACCGGGGAGGGUCAUUGGAAACUGGGAGACUUGAGUGCAGAAGAGGAGAGUGGAAUUCCAUGUGUAGCGGUGAAAUGCGUAGAUAUAUGGAGGAACACCAGUGGCGAAGGCGGCUCUCUGGUCUGUAACUGACGCUGAGGCUCGAAAGCGUGGGGAGCAAACAGGAUUAGAUACCCUGGUAGUCCACGCCGUAAACGAUGAGUGCUAAGUGUUGGAGGGUUUCCGCCCUUCAGUGCUGCAGCUAACGCAUUAAGCACUCCGCCUGGGGAGUACGACCGCAAGGUUGAAACUCAAAGGAAUUGACGGGGGCCCGCACAAGCGGUGGAGCAUGUGGUUUAAUUCGAAGCAACGCGAAGAACCUUACCAGGUCUUGACAUCCUUUGACCACUCUAGAGAUAGAGCUUCCCCUUCGGGGGCAAAGUGACAGGUGGUGCAUGGUUGUCGUCAGCUCGUGUCGUGAGAUGUUGGGUUAAGUCCCGCAACGAGCGCAACCCUUAUUGUUAGUUGCCAUCAUUUAGUUGGGCACUCUAGCAAGACUGCCGGUGACAAACCGGAGGAAGGUGGGGAUGACGUCAAAUCAUCAUGCCCCUUAUGACCUGGGCUACACACGUGCUACAAUGGGAAGUACAACGAGUCGCAAAGUCGCGAGGCUAAGCUAAUCUCUUAAAGCUUCUCUCAGUUCGGAUUGUAGGCUGCAACUCGCCUACAUGAAGCCGGAAUCGCUAGUAAUCGCGGAUCAGCACGCCGCGGUGAAUACGUUCCCGGGCCUUGUACACACCGCCCGUCACACCACGAGAGUUUGUAACACCCGAAGUCGGUGAGGUAACCUUUUGGAGCCAGCCGCCUAAGGUGGGAUAGAUGAUUGGGGUG
rnacentral:rRNA from 1 species